UGGGGAAUAUUGGACAAUGGGGGGAACCCUGAUCCAGCCAUGCCGCGUGUGUGAAGAAGGCCUUAUGGUUGUAAAGCACUUUAAGCGAGGAGGAGGGUACUGGUAUUAAUACUACCAGCUACUGGACGUUACUCGCAGAAUAAGCACCGGCUAACUCUGUGCCAGCAGCCGCGGUAAUACAGAGGGUGCAAGCGUUAAUCGGAAUUACUGGGCGUAAAGCGCGCGUAGGUGGUUCGUUAAGUUGAAUGUGAAAGCCCCGGGCUCAACCUGGGAAAUGCAUCCAAAACUGGCGAGCUAGAGUAGGGCAGAGGGUGGUGGAAUUUCCUGUGUAGCGGUGAAAUGCGUAGAUAUAGGAAGGAACACCAGUGGCGAAGGCGACCACCUGGGCUCAUACUGACACUGAGGUGCGAAAGCGUGGGGAGCAAACAGG
rnacentral:rRNA from 1 species